rnacentral:rRNA from 1 species
GAUGAACGCUGGCGGCGUGCCUAAUACAUGCAAGUCGAGCGAAUGGAUUGAGAGCUUGCUCUUAUGAAGUUAGCGGCGGACGGGUGAGUAACACGUGGGUAACCUGCCCAUAAGACUAGGAUAACUCCGGGAAACCGGGGCUAAUACCGGAUAACAUUUUGAACCGCAUGGUUCGAAAUUGAAAGGCGGCUUCGGCUGUCACUUAUGGAUGGACCCGCGUCGCAUUAGCUAGUUGGUGAGGUAACGGCUCACCAAGGCAACGAUGCGUAGCCGACCUGAGAGGGUGAUCGGCCACACUGGGACUGAGACACGGCCCAGACUCCUACGGGAGGCAGCAGUAGGGAAUCUUCCGCAAUAGACGAAAGUCUGACGGAGCAACGCCGCGUGAGUGAUGAAGGCUUUCGGGUCGUAAAACUCUGUUGUUAGGGAAGAACAAGUGCUAGUUGAAUAAGCUGGCACCUUGACGGUACCUAACCAGAAAGCCACGGCUAACUACGUGCCAGCAGCCGCCGCGG